ACGGAGGAUCCAAGCGUUAUCCGGAAUCAUUGGGUUUAAAGGGUCCGUAGGCGGUCUUAUAAGUCAGUGGUGAAAUCCCAUCGCUCAACGAUGGAACUGCCAUUGAUACUGUAAGACUUGAAUACUUAGGAAGUAACUAGAAUAUGUAGUGUAGCGGUGAAAUGCUUAGAUAUUACAUGGAAUACCAAUUGCGAAGGCAGGUUACUACUAAGUGAUUGACGCUGAUGGACGAAAGCGUGGGGAGCGAACAGG
rnacentral:rRNA from 1 species